UACGUAGGGUGCGAGCGUUGUCCGGAAUUAUUGGGCGUAAAGAGCUCGUAGGCGGCUCGUUGCGUCGGCUGUGAAAACCCGCAGCUCAACUGUGGGCUUGCAGCUGAUACGGGCGGGCUGGGAUUCGGUAGGGGAGACUGGAAUUCCUGGUGUAGCGGUGAAAUGCGCAGAUAUCAGGAGGAACACCGGUGGCGAAGGCGGGUCUCUGGGCCGAUAUCGACGCUGAGGAGCGAAAGCGUGGGGGAGCGAACAGG
rnacentral:rRNA from 1 species